GGAUGCGAUCAUACCAGCACUAAAGCACCGGAUCCCAUCAGAACUCCGAAGUUAAGCGUGCUUGGGUGAGAGUAGUACUAGGAUGGGUGACCUCCUGGGAAGUCCUCGUGGUUUAUUCC
rnacentral:rRNA from 1 species